AGCAGGGGGCAGGUUUUCUCUGGGGCACUGAGAUUUGUCAGGGGGUUGGUGGCUCCUUUCUUUCCUCACCUUGGAGUAAACUCAGCUUUUUAUUCCAUCCUUGAUGUUUCAAGGCACAACAACAGAUGACCGAGGAACGAGGAGGACAGGGACGGUCUCAGGGGUCUCAGACAAGAACUGGGGCACAACACCUGGUUUGUUAAGGCCACAAAAACGGAGGCAGGAACCUCUUCUCUGCUGCUGGCAAAGAACCACAGAGGGCUUUAACGCCCCUUAUCUCACUUGGGCUCUAAACUGCCCAUAGUUCGAGAACUGUUCCUGUUCCCAUUGGACAGAUGGAAGAAGGGAAGUGACCUACCCAAGGCCUACACAACAAGGCAAUGGCAGAGCCAGAAAGAGAAGCAACCAGUUCUGACUCCUGUUCUAACAGAUGAAAACACCCCAGAGCCCAGGAAUCGAGAUGGUGGGAAAAUUUCAUUCAAACCGUUUCUGUCCGAAAAUCCCAUUUAGACUAAACCAGUUUGUUUCUCAAAAUCAUAACA